rnacentral:rRNA from 1 species
UACAAAGGGUGCAAGCGUUGUUCGGAAUUAUUGGGCGUAAAGCGCGUGUAGGCGGUGGUUCAAGUCGGGUGUGAAAGCCCUCAGCUCAACUGAGGAAGUGCGCCCGAAACUGAAUCGCUAGAGUGUCGGAGGGGAAGGCGGAAUUCCCGGUGUAGAGGUGAAAUUCGUAGAUAUCGGGAGGAACACCAGUGGCGAAGGCGGCCUUCUGGACGAACACUGACGCUGAGACGCGAAAGCGUGGGUAGCAAACAGG